CCUACACCCGCUCCAGCACCUGCCCCCGCACCAGCAGAAGCGCCAGCGGCCGCACCCGCCCCCGCACCUGAAGCCCCAGCACCUGCAGCACCACCACCAGCACCCGUGGAAGCAUCUGCCUAAAUCAACGGACAUCGGUUACAGCUCGCAGUUGAUGACACUGGAGAAGAGAUUAAUGAAUCAAGUUUAAUAUCGUACUAUAUUAUUAAUUAAUAAACUAUGGUAGGUAAAUUUGUAAGUUUUGUAUGUUCAUAAAUUUAAUACAUUGUAAUCAAUAA